CUACGUGCCAGCAGCCGCGGUAAUACGGAAGGUCCGGGCGUUAUCCGGAUUUAUUGGGUUUAAAGGGAGCGUAAGCCGGAGAUUAAGUGUGUUGUGAAAUGUAGACGCUCAACGUCUGACUUGCAGCGCAUACUGGUUUCCUUGAGUACGCACAACGUUGGCGGAAUUCGUCGUGUAGCGGUGAAAUGCUUAGAUAUGACGAAGAACUCCGAUUGCGAAGGCAGCUGACGGGAGCGCAACUGACGCUUAAGCUCGAAGGUGCGGGUAUCGAACAGGAUUAGAUACCCUGGUAGUCCGCACAGUAAACGAUGGAUGCCCGCUGUUGGUACCUGGUAUCAGCGGCUAAGCGAAAGCACUAAGCAUCCCACCUGGGGAGUACGCCGGCAACGGUGAAACUCAAAGGAAUUGACGGGGGCCCGCACAAGCGGAGGAACAUGUGGUUUAAUUCGAUGAUACGCGAGGAACCUUACCCGGGCUUGAA
rnacentral:rRNA from 1 species